GCACUACUGAGGAGUCCUACCAAUAGGACGAAACGGCCGUCCAGUGC
rnacentral:hammerhead_ribozyme from 1 species